rnacentral:rRNA from 1 species
GAGUUUGAUCAUGGCUCAGAACGUACGCUGGCGGCACGCCUAACACAUGCAAGUCGAACGAAGUAGCAAUACUUAGUGGCAGACGGGUGAGUAACAUGUAGGUAUCUGCCCUUUGGCCUGGAAUAACACGAGGAAACUUGUGCUAAUACCGGAUAAGUCUUUACGGAGAAAGCUUUAUGCACCAUUGGAUGAGCCUGCACUUGAUUAGUUUGUUGGUGGGGUAAUGGCCUACCAAGACUUUGAUCAAUAGCUGAUUUGAGAGGAUGAUCAGCCACAUUGGGACUGAGACACGGCCCAAACUCCUACGGGAGGCAGCAGUGGGGAAUCUUGCACAAUGGAGGAAACUCUGAUGCAGCGAUGCCGCGUGAGUGAAGAAGGCCCUUGGGUUGUAAAGCUCUUUCGUCGGGGAAGAAAAUGACUGUACCCGAAUAAGAAGGUCCGGCUAACUUCGUGCCAGCAGCCGCGGUAAUACGAAGGGACCUAGCGUAGUUCGGAAUUACUGGGCUUAAAGAGUUCGUAGGUGGUUGAAAAAGUUGGUGGUGAAAUCCCAGAGCUUAACUCUGGAACUGCCAUCAAAACUUUUCAGCUAGAGUAUGAUAGAGGAAAGCAGAAUUUCUAGUGUAGAGGUGAAAUUCGUAGAUAUUAGAAAGAAUACCAAUUGCGAAGGCAGCUUUCUGGAUCAUUACUGACACUGAGGAACGAAAGCAUGGGUAGCGAAGAGGAUUAGAUACCCUCGUAGUCCAUGCCGUAAACGAUGUGUGUUAGACGUUGGAAAUUUAUUCUCAGUGUCGCAGCGAAAGCGAUAAACACACCGCCUGGGGAGUACGACCGCAAGGUUAAAACUCAAAUGAAUUGACGGGGACUCGCACAAGUAGUGGAGCAUGUGGUUUAAUUCGAAGAUACGCGCAGAACCUUACCAACACUUGACAUGUUCGUCGCGACUCUAAGAGAUUAGAGUUUUCGGUUCGGCCGGACGAAACACAGGUGCUGCAUGGCUGUCGUCAGCUCGUGUCGUGAGAUGUUGGGUUAAGUCCCGCAAUGAGCGCAACCCUCACUUUUAGUUGCCAUCAUUAAGUUGGGCACUCUGAAAGAACUGCCAGUGAUAAGCUGGAGGAAGGUGGGGAUGACGUCAAGUCCUCAUGGCCCUUACGUGUUGGGCUACACACGUGCUACAAUGGUAUCUACAACAGGAAGCAAGACUGCGAAGUUAAGCAAAUCCCUAAAAGAUACCUCAGUUCGGAUUGCACUCUGCAACUCGAGUGCAUGAAGCUGGAAUUACUAGUAAUCGUGGAUCAGCGUGCCACGGUGAAUGCGUUCCCGGGUCUUGUACACACCGCCCGUCACACCAUGGGAGUUGGUUCUACCUUAAGGCAAGGUUUCAAACCCUUGACCACGGUAUAGUCAGCGACUGGGGUGAAGUCGUAACAAGGUAACC